rnacentral:lncRNA from 1 species
AAACUACAAAAUAUCACUAAUCGCAAGACAGUAGCUUGUAUAUCUUUCCUUAAAAACGCAAAAAAUGUCCGAUAGCGAACGCUUUGAAUCACAGACAGAUACAGAACAGCCAACAGAUAACGAGGACGUUGUUGAGCCACAAUCGUCUGUUGUACAGCCCUGUCUGUUCGAGCCAGUUGCUGAUCGUGACUAAUGACUAUGAGGAAGACGAAACAGGCGAAGACGGUCUUGAGGCGAGAUUUACGAAAACCGUAGCUGUUAGUUCAUGGUAAGUUUAACAAAGCAGUCUAAUAUCAAAGCGUUUCUCGAAUUAUUUAUUAGCGUGUUUCGUUUAACAUGUGAAUUGAUUUUAGGUGCACAUUUGAGAUUCUUGAAUGUAUGGCCAAAUUUUGAAAUUUACGUACGAUGGAAAAGACGCUGAAUGUAUAAAUUUGUAUAGCACUGGGACUAUCCUGUUAUUACGCACCGAACACUCGAACAGUAUAUUACCGCAAAUCAACAAGCCGAACUCAAGACGGGCAAAAUGAGUAAGUCAAAUUAAUUUCACUAAAUUUUGGUCAGUUUUCAUCAGUAUUUUCUAUAUAUAUUCGCAAUAAUCGCAAAUGGUUGUAUUUUGUAAGAUUUUGAAACGUGUAUUUUAUUCUAUCUAUUGCUUUGAAACAGUGCAUUCGUGAAGGUAGUAACUCAGUCUCAAUGUUCGAUUGUUAAUGUUUAGAUAAUUUGAUACCUUCGUGCAGUGCCGCAGUGGCGUAUAUCGGUGGAUAGUGAGAUGCAUGGAUAUUCGGCGUUAUUCGCCAUGCUCGGAUGGGAAAACUCUGGACCGCUUCCAGCAUGCCUGUAUAAUGAAAUCUGGAAGAGGUAUCCGUCUCAAAGCAACACUGGAUAUAAAUAAUCACAGCAGAGAACUGAGAACGUGAUAAAAAGUGUAUACUAUGUUACGUAAACUGAUAUUGUAAAUUAUAAGUAUAAAUUAACCUAGUCAAAUAAAUGGUUCUUCACUCGGACUCUGUCGCGUGAGUAUGAUCGACUAAGAAGUAUAUAUAAAGCGCUCCGGCCUUGGUGGUUAAUACGCCUGUUGUGAAAACAUAAUUUCUUGACUGAUAAGGCCAGAAAGGAAUUAAAUUAAUUACGGCCCAGAAUAGUAUUCAUU